rnacentral:rRNA from 1 species
GACAGAGGGUGCAAACGUUGUUCGGAAUCAUUGGGCGUAAAGCGCGCGUAGGUGGCCAUGUAAGUCCGCUGUGAAAGUCAAAGGCUCAACCUUUGAAAGCCGGUGGAUACUGCAUGGCUAGAGUACGGAAGAGGCGAGUGGAAUUCCUGGUGUAGCGGUGGAAUGCGCAGAUAUCAGGAGGAACACCAAUAGCGAAGGCAGCUCGCUGGGACGUUACUGACACUGAGGCGCGAAAGCGUGGGGAGCGAACAGG